UGGGGAAUAUUGGACAAUGGGGGCAACCCUGAUCCAGCCAUGCCGCGUGUGUGAAGAAGGCCUUUUGGUUGUAAAGCACUUUAAGCAGUGAAGAAGACUCCAUGGUUAAUACCCAUGGACGAUGACAUUAGCUGCAGAAUAAGCACCGGCUAACUCUGUGCCAGCAGCCGCGGUAAUACAGAGGGUGCAAGCGUUAAUCGGAAUUACUGGGCGUAAAGCGAGCGUAGGUGGCUUGAUAAGACAGAUGUGAAAGCCCCGGGCUUAACCUGGGAACGGCAUCUGAUACUGUUAGGCUAGAGUAGGUGAGAGGAAGGUAGAAUUCCAGGUGUAGCGGUGAAAUGCGUAGAGAUCUGGAGGAAUACCGAUGGCGAAGGCAGCCUUCUGGCAUCAUACUGACACUGAGGUUCGAAAGCGUGGGUAGCAAACA
rnacentral:rRNA from 1 species